AUUGAACGCUGGCGGCAUGCCUUACACAUGCAAGUCGAACGGUAACGGGCCUUCGGGUGCCGACGAGUGGCGAACGGGUGGGUAAUGUAUCGGAACGUACCUUUCAGUGGGGGAUAACGUAGCGAAAGUUACGCUAAUACCGCAUAUUCUGUGAGCAGGAAAGCAGGGGAUCGAAAGACCUUGCGCUGAUUGUGCGGCCGAUAUCCGAUUAGAGAGUUGGGGAGGUAAAGGCUCACCAAGGCGACGAUCUGUAGCGGGUCUGAGAGGAUGAUCCGCCACACUGGAACUGAGACACGGUCCAGACUCCUACGGGAGGCAGCAGUGGGGAAUUUUGGACAAUGGGGGCAACCCUGAUCCAGCCAUGCCGCGUGAGUGAAGAAGGCCUUCGGGUUGUAAAGCUCUUUCGGCCGGGAAGAAAUCGUAUGGGUUAAUACCCUGUGCGGAUGACGGUACCGGCAUAAGAAGCACCGGCUAACUACGUGCCAGCCGCCGCGGUAAUAC
rnacentral:rRNA from 1 species